rnacentral:rRNA from 1 species
ACUUUUUGUAGAACGGGCCAACGAGUUACGUUAAGUAGCAAGGUUAAGCACUUAAGGGCCGGAGCCUGAGCGAAAGCGAGUUUUACCUGAGCGUUCAGUGACUGGACGUAGACCCGAAACCGGGCGACCUAACAAUGAGCAGGGUGAAGCGAAAGUAAAAUUGCGUGGAGGUCCGAACCCACGAGCGUUGAAAAGCUCGGGGAUGACUUGUGGGUAGCGGUGAAAUUCCAAUCGAGCCCGGAGAUAGCUGGUUCUCCCCGAAAUAGCUUUAGGGCUAGCCUCAAGGUGAGAGAUACGGAGGUAGAGCACUGAAUGUCCUAGGGGGUAUUGCACCUACCGAAGACUAUCAAACUCCGAAUGCCGUCAUCUUAUACUUGGGAGUCAGACUGUGGGUGAUAAGAUUCAUAGUCGAAAGGGCAACAGCCCAGAUCGUCAGCUAAGGUCCCUAAAUGUAAGUUAAGUGGUAAAGGAUGUGGGAUUGCACAGACAACCAGGAUGUUGGCUUAGAAGCAGCCACUCAUUCAAAGAGUGCGUAAUAGCUCACUGGUCGAGUGAUCCUGCGCCGAAGAUUUCCGGGGCUAAAACUUACUACCGAAGCUACGGCAUCAGUAAUGAUGGGUAGGGGAGCUUCCCAUA